rnacentral:lncRNA from 1 species
UUUUGCCAAAAUAUUCAGAUUAAAUAAAUAGAAUUUUCCAUGUCCUUAGUUUAUUUUUAUCACAUUAAUUUAAGGAGUUGUCAAUUUUAUUUGAUUUAAUUGAUUUAAAUGGUUUAAAUCAAUUAAAUCAUAUAGAAUGGGCGUUUUAGGCAUUUUAAAUUAUCUAACAACUUUUGUUUCUUUGUGUGUUUCCUUAAGUUAUAUUGGGAUCAUCGGUUCAAAUUUAUCAAUGACCCAUAAUGGCAAUCCUUCUCCAUUUCAUUUCAUCCAAUCAAAAAUAAAAUAAAAUUAAUUGAAUUAAAAAUGACAAAGAAAAUUAGAAAAUAAAAAUAUCUUGUUUCUCCCCAGUAAAGUUGAGCCACACGUCCGUUAUGGAUAAGGAUUAUAUUUUUUUUAACUAAAGAAAAUGAAAUACAACUCAAUAACCUCUGUCCACUAAUGAAUCUCUGUUGGUCUAACGGUAAGAAAGGAAAAAAAACAAAAAGGACAACUAGCCUCCACACUCUCUCAGAGACUCUCUCAUUUUCCAAUGGCUAUAGGUCACAGAAAAAUAAAAUAAAAAGGAAAAAGGGGAACACCGUUCAUGUUCUUUCCCACAACUCCAUUCACUCACGUAGAACGCCAAUCAACCACAAUAAGCCGCCGGAAAACAUUAACUCAUUACAAUCGCCGCCUCCAUAAAACCUCCUUCACACUCACCUCCGCUGCGAACCCGGACCACCGUCCCAUCCAACCUUCCGCCACGAAUCUAAUCCCCACCGUUAUCUUCCCACCAUCACAAAGUCCCCUCUCCAACUUCUCUGUCGCGGCUACAACACCACGACACCCCCCCGUUGCACCGUCGGUGGCAACCCCAAACCAUCCGCCGGCGAACCCUUAUCCGUCUGUCACCAAUUCCGACCACCGCAAAACCAUCUCACUUCGCUCAUUCCAUCUCCGUUCCUUCACCUGCGCAAACUAAGCGCCAUAGUCGCCCAACACACCUCUCCUUCUUCUUCUCUAAGUUCCGCCGGCAAACGAUUCUUCCGUUGGAAACACCAUCACCAUCAUAAAACUCUCCUCAUCAUGGAAUCACAGUCCAUUUCCUUCAUACACCCUCGCCGACAACGUCCAAAACAUUACUCCCUUUUACUACUUCAGAUCUACAAACUCAACCGUCGCCCGUGAAUCCUCCACCGCGACCCACCUUCAACUACCGCAUGAUCCUUUUUCCGACCGACCAACCCCAAGCUACACCAUUCAACAUCGUCAAACACAUGACGCCCAUCGCCGGCGGAAUAUUACAUCUACCUGCACCGUCAAGCCUCUCUCGUUACGGUAUUCUUGCGUCACCGUCAUUUUCCGUGUUUGGUUGGUUUUCCUGUCUUAUCUCUUUCUAUACUCGUUGUUCUAAUGAAUUUCAUGGAAUUGUAGCAUAUCUAUGAUGGUGUAUAUCGAUUAUGCCGGUUAUGUUUCAAUUUCAUCAUGUGACUUUUGUUGACUAUCAUGUUGUUGUGUUUGUUCAUAAGGAAGUUGGAAAAAGUAGCUAAGCACAUGCUUGUGUGGUUUAAUCUCUGUGUUUUUUUAUUAGGAUAUUAGAUUGUUGUGGAUCUUUUAAAUAUUGCAUGUAGUAAUAUAUUGAUUAAUUGGCCAAUAGAUUGUGAGAUAUUAAAAGUCUGUUACGGCUGAUUUUGGUUUGGUAUCUUGCCAAGAAUAUGUAAAUAAAAAGUUAAGUUAUAGCAUAUGAAUGGUGGUAAUCAUAAUUCUGAGUAGUAGUACAUAUAUUGUAAUUAUAUUUUGGUUAUAUCACAGUGUACAUAGAUUGUAAUUAUAAGUUGGUUAAAUUAUAGCAUAUGAACGGUGGUAGUCAUAAUUCUCAGUAGUAGUAUAUAUAUUGUAAUUAUAUUUUGGUUAUAUUACAGUGUACAUAGCUUGUAAUUAUAUUUUGGUUAUAUUAUAGCAUAUGAAUAGUAGUAAUCACAAUUCUGAGUUAAUUAAGUAUUAAUAUUUUAAUUGUAUUAACAAUUGAUUGCUAU